GUGGCGACGGGUGAGUAACACGUUGAACCUGCCCAAAGUAAGGGAUAAGCCACCGAAAGGUGGUCUAAUACCUUAUAGUAUCCAUCUCGUAUGGAUUAAAGCUUUAUGCGCUUUGGGAGGGGCCUGCGUUUGAUUAGCUAGUUGGUGAGGUAAAAGCUCACCAAGGCGACGAUCAAUAGCUGGUUUGAGAGGAUGACCAGCCACACUGGGACUGAGAUACGGCCCAGACUCCUACGGGAGGCAGCAGUAAGGAAUCUUCCACAAUGGGGCAACCCUGAUGGAGCAAUACCGCGUGCAGGAUGAAGCGUUUCGGCGUGUAAACUGCUUUUAUCACCGAAGAUUAUGACUGUAGGUGAAGAAUAAGGACCGGCUAACUACGUG
rnacentral:rRNA from 1 species